UAGUCCCAAUGAUAACAAUCACAGGGCAGGGGAAAAAGAGCAGCAACAGCAGCUGCCUGGAUUCUGCUCCUGAGUCACGUCUGCCCGGGCACAACGGGGUGUCACACGGGAGCUCCCCUCUGCUUCUAUUUCCUACAUAUAAGUGUAAGCUCUUGUGCAGCAGCUCUAUAGACAGUGUUCUGUACUACAUUUCCCACCAGCCUUUGCUCGCCUCUUGCCAUAGUUCAGCAGCAACUGGAAGCCCCUCAACCAAAGGGUAUUAUUAUUAUUAUUAUUAUUAUAGAUGCGUGUGAGUGUCCUCCUCAAGCUGUUAGGCUAGGGUCGGAGACCCCCCAACUUUACAUGAUACUACACGUGAGACAUGAUCAGUUUUAUCCGAUCUGCCUUUGUUCCUGUACAAUUACUCACAUAUGGGGAGGACUGGGAGUUGUAGUAGAGCAGGAGAUGGAGGAGUCUCACAGCUUUAUAUCAACUGCUUCACCCUCAGUCUUUCAUUCAUUGCCCUCUGUCCUGAUCCCGGGGCACUUUAAUGGAAUCAUCAGCUUUAUUCAAUAAUAAUCGCACAUUUCACAUCUACUUGUCAACUGUAGCGACAUUGUAGCAAUUGGGAUGAGUCGCUAGUGACAUUGGAGCUAAUAAAACACACUAACAAACUUUUAUUUUUCUCCCCGAGAAGCGAUCGCAGCCCUAGUGCGACUCUGUGCUCAGUCUGAAGCCUUUAAUCCAGCCCCGGGAUUUAUGGAGUUUCAGCACAGCCUCCUUCAUUGUACAGUGUGUCUAGAGCGUAUAGAAUGAACUCCCCUCCGAAAGCUGCAGAAUGAACUAGCCCAAAUCUCAGAAGGCAGCAGGAGAGAGAGCUCUUGUCCAAUCAGAAGCCGGCAGUUCAAAGCCAGCCCAUGUAUUGGUUAGAAGGUAAAUCAAUUAUCAAAUAAUCGAUCAGCGGGGCGCUGAGAUGUGCAUGGAGUGCUGGGACUCCAGUAGGGGGAAAGCUGAGUUGUGUGGCUGGGAAAAGAGCUUCAUGGCUCAUCUGUAACCAGAGGAAAGGCGCUUCGUAAAGCGAAACCCAGGCACAUCCACAUCCCUGCACACACUCAGCCAUGGGCCUGCUCUGUGGGAAACAAGAGGGAGAAAAAGUACACACAGAGUAUAGAAACAGAUGAGAAAGAAAGCAAAGGAAGAUAUGGCUACAUAUUGAUAGAUAUACAUCGGUGUGGACUGGGGAAGUGACAAACGGUAAACACAGGGUUAAUUCAGCAGGACACAGAAAAUAAACGACCUUCUUGGCCAUAAUGUGAGGUUAUUCGAUAGCAGCAUGGACCGGCUGGAGGUGCAGCUUUCUGUAGCCUGGAUUUAGAAUAUGAAAAUCUGAAAUGGGGAGAAAAAAAAAAAAAUUUGGAAAAAGCUAAAGGCCCGAGAGAAAAACAAAAAUCUCUGAUCGCUUUAGGAAACAAUAACUAUGACUGGAAACCUCAGACACUUCACAACAUCAGCCUCUCCUGGAAUGUGGUGUCGGCAUGAGGCUAUUUACGUGGGAAUGGAUACUACUGAAACAAAAAUGGAGUAUAUUGCUAAAAAGUAGACAUAUAUUUGCACAGGGUCUGGAGCUUUGGUCAUUGUGCUCUUCCUAUUGUAUUAACCCCUGCAUGGAACCAUGACUGAAUUUUGUCUAGUCAGGAAUUAUAUGCUAUUCUAUAUGAUGAAACUGUCAGAAUAAAUUUGAUUUUGCACUUACUCUA